rnacentral:other from 1 species
UGCUUGCUGCACUUCACGUGAGAAGCUACUUUUCCUCGGGGCCUUAAAGAUCCGAAAGGGAGCUGGCGCUGAUAGGGACCGUGGUCCUCUUCAACUGGCCCCCACCUUAACAUAAGGUGUCCCAGGAUCAGAAAAGCUUUAACGGUCGCUGCGGCUUCCUA